rnacentral:tRNA from 1 species
UGGUUCGUAACUCAAGUGGUUAGAGUACCGGUCUUUUAAACCGGGUGUUGUGAGUUCAAGUCUCACCGGGCCAACAA